CGGUGGUGCAGUUGGUAGCACUGUUGCUUUGCAGCAAGAAGGUCCUGGAUUCGACUCCCGGCUGCAGGU